rnacentral:lncRNA from 1 species
CUUUAAGCAACACUAAAAGGUUGACAACAUUGUAACUUUCUUAGAGAAGAGUUCUGUCUCCUGUUUUAAAGGAAAAUGAUUAAAGGGAAAAAAAAAGAGCUCAUACUGAAAUGGAAUAAUAUUGGGAGGCUGCAACCAGAAAGAUUUUGAGAAUCACUUAAAGUUAACCCUUGAGUCCCCUCCUCCCAGCCUAAGAAGUGGUAGGGGGUCUUAGACCCACUUUUUGUUUUGUUUUGAUGCAGCACCACUCAGAACACCCCAGGUUCAGCUGACUUCUGUGAGGUUUCUUUGGCCACAGCUCGGAUCUACCAUAGCAUCCGUGAUAGGGGAGAUAUUUUUAGAUGUAUUACCUAGCUGGUAGCUGUAGCAGCCUGGCUUUGGUGUUUACAGUUCUCGUCUAUUACAUUAAAUACAGCACAGCACAUGAUACACAUUCUGCUCUAGAGAUUUAGGGGCCUGUGGGUACAAUGUAGGAAGCGUACAGCAUACAUCCCAAUCUUGUCUGACUGUGUGGCAAGCUUCAUAAACAGGAAGGUUAGAAAUGACUGGUUGAAUCCACAGCCACAGCUUGAGAAUUACCUAGAUGAGUGAUGAGUUUCCUCCCAGGUUAGGAUUUAGGAGUGAAUGUGUUUGUGUAGCUGGAAGGAUGCAGCCCGACACAGGGUGCAGGGAAGGUCGCUGGAGGCACUAGCAGAGGACCAGGUGUUACCAGCCGCGCCCGGACGUUGGCCCAGCGCAUGCAGUUGUUCCCAGUCUCGGAGUGCGAAAUGAACGCGAAGGAGGACUGGUGAACCCGUGGUCCCGCAGGCGUCUCCGCGUUCUGUGGAGGAGGGAGAGCCCACCCACUCAGAGUGGCCGCAUCUGGAGAAAGAGGGAAGAUGUAGUUACUGAACCUGAUCCGGUGUUUGUGAAUCCUGCGGUACCCACGGCGGGUCAGGAGACGCCCCGCUGGCCCAUGGACACAUGGAUAUUCCAGGAGCCACAUGAAGGUAACAAGCAAGCUUGUAUUCUCAUCUUAAAAUGUGCUACUUUGCAAAGGCGUGAGCCUGGCCUUGAGAAUGGAGGGGUUUCUCCUUGCAAGGAGUACCAGAUGGCCUGACCUUGAGGAGCACUCAUUCAGGGUCACCGUGCACCGUGUCCUCUGUUGCUAGACGUGGACCUGAGCGACUCUGAUCCAGUCAGCAAGCCUGGUCCCCCUGGGGCUUGUCUGCGGCCUCCUCUGCUGCGGGCGGAGCAGGCACACUGAGGAACUGAAGCAGGCAUUGGGACUGCGCUUCUUUACCCAGGGUUCUGUGGGUGGCCAUCAGUCACCGCACAGGCCUCCCC